GACGAACGCUGGCGGCGGGCUUAACACAUGCAAGUCGAACGGAAAGGCGCUGCUUUUGUGUGGUUCUCGAGGGGCGAACGGGUGAGUAACACGGGAGUAACCCUCCCUUGACUUGGGGAUAACUUCAGGAAACUGGGGCUAAUACCGAAUAGGAGCGCCUGCUGCAUGGUGGGGGUUGGACAGUUUCGGCGGUUGGGGAUGGACGCGCGGCUUACCAGCUUGUUGGUGGGGUAGUGGCUAACCAAGGGAUUGACGGGUAGCCGGCCUGAGAGCGUGACCGGCCACAUUGGGACUGCGAUACGGCCCAGACUCCUACGGGAGGCAGAAGUGGGGAAUAUUGCACAAUGGGCGGGAGCCUGAUGCAGCAGCGCCGCGUGCGGGAUGACGGCCUUCGUGUUGUAAACCGCUUUCGCCUGUGACGAAGCGUGAGUGACGGUAAUGGGUAAAGAAGCACCGGCUAACUACGUG
rnacentral:rRNA from 1 species